rnacentral:rRNA from 1 species
AAUUAUUAUUAGAUUUUUAAAUAAUUAUUCACGAAAUAAAUUGAGCUAAAUAAUGGAUUUUUUUUUGGAAUUUUAUAACUAUAUGUUACAAAAUAUAUUAACUAUAUAUAUUUAGGGGUGAAAGGCCUAUCAAAUUUUAUGAUAUCUUGAAGUAUAUAAAAUAUAUUAAGUAUUUCUAAUUCAACUAUUGAAUGUUUAGGUUCAAUGGUCACAUUAUAUUUUUUUUUUAAGGUCUUUUAAUUUUUUUAAGUAAAAUUAAUUUUGAACAUUAGAACAUAAAUCAAAUUUAUAUUAUAUGAAUAUAAGUAUACUAUGGUUAUUAAUAAAUACAAUCAUACAUAAUGUAAUUAUUAGUAAUACUUUAACAAACUAUAUAAAGGAAUUCGGCAAGAAAAUUUUUCAACUGUUUAUCAAAAACAUAGCUUGUUGAAUACACAUAAUAAGUAAUCCCUGCUCAAUGGAAUCUAAAUAGCCGCAGUACCUUGACUGUGCAAAGGUAGCAUAAUAAAUUGGCUUAUAAUUGAAGUCUGGAAUGAAUGGGUAAUCUGGAAAAUAACUGUCUUUAUUUUUAGUAAUUUUGAAGUUACUUAUAAAGUGAAAAUACUUUAAUUUAAAUAUAAGACGAGAAGACCCUAGAAAUUUUUGUGUAUUACUUUUGUUGGGGCGACAGGGUAACACAUAACUUACCUUUAUUAAAUAUAAACCUUAUAAGGUAUAUAAUUAAAUUACUCUAGGGAUAACAGCAUAAUAUAUAAAAGUUUAUGACCUCGAUGUUGGACUAGGUAAUUAAAUAUUUAAAAGAUUUUUAAUUUUGCUCUGUUCGAGCAGUUUUACCUACAU